AUCAACGAACUGCAGACACCCC
rnacentral:siRNA from 1 species